CUGCGCGAGGUGGCCAGGCCUGAGAAGCCAAGGGAGCGUUUGAGUCUAGUCCUUAUCUCCCCGUCACCCUCAGACGCGGCUUUUUCUCUUUCUCACACUUGGAGUACAGUUAGAAAUAGCCAUGGAUAAAGAGGAAUUUCAUGUGAAAUUUUUCAUGUGUGUGGUUCAGUCUCGCCGAGUAGUCAGGACGGCUGAGAGCACAGAUGAGGAAGCUUCAGCUUCCAACGUGAUCAUAUCAACGCAACAUGCAAAGACAGAUCUCUUGAAGAUACUAGAAACUAUGGAUGAGCCAAACACCAUGGGACCUGUUCUUGAAACUGGUGAGGCAUGUGGGUAAACAAUGUGGGUGGGUGUGAAAAGAGGUAUUGGAUAGCAAAAGGUUUAUUCAUAGUAGUAUGAGUCACAGCAGGCC